UACAGAGGGUGCGAGCGUUGUCCGGAAUCACUGGGCGUAAAGGGCGCGUAGGUGGCCCGACAAGUCUGUGGUGAAAGCUCGACGCUCAACGUCGAGUCGGCCAUAGAUACUGUUGGGCUGGAGCACUGUAGAGGCUCAUGGAAUUCCGGGUGUAGCGGUGGAAUGCGUAGAGAUCGGGAGGAACACCAGUGGCGAAGGCGGCUCACUGGCCCGAUACUGACGCUGAGGCACGAAAGCGUGGGGAGCAAACAGG
rnacentral:rRNA from 1 species